AUUGAACGCUGGCGGCAGGCCUAACACAUGCAAGUCGAGCGGAUGAAGGGAGCUUGCUCCUGGAUUCAGCGGCGGACGGGUGAGUAAUGCCUAGGAAUCUGCCUGGUAGUGGGGGAUAACGUCCGGAAACGGGCGCUAAUACCGCAUACGUCCUGAGGGAGAAAGUGGGGGAUCUUCGGACCUCACGCUAUCAGAUGAGCCUAGGUCGGAUUAGCUAGUUGGUGGGGUAAAGGCCUACCAAGGCGACGAUCCGUAACUGGUCUGAGAGGAUGAUCAGUCACACUGGAACUGAGCCACGGUCCAGACUCCUACGGGAGGCAGCAGUGGGGAAGAUUGGAAAAUGGGCGAAAGCCUGAUCCAGCCAUGCCGCGUGUGUGAAGAAGGUCUUCGGAUUGUAAAGCACUUUAAGUUGGGAGGAAGGGCAGUAAGUUAAUACCUUGCUGUUUUGACGUUACCAACAGAAUAAGCACCGGCUAACUUCGU
rnacentral:rRNA from 1 species